GGAUAAUAUCGGUUAAGUGGAUCAGGAUUUUUAACAUUAUUUAAUGUUUAUGCCAGGGAUAUGUACAAUUUCAAACAACAACGGAAAUCGACCAUUAUUGAUGUGAUAGCAAAUGAUAAACUUAUUCCUAGUAAUCUGGAAUUGGAUUUUGAAAGCAACAUAACUAUUGAUGAGGAUUUAAAAACAGAUGGGGAAGACCCACUGUUGUCUCUAUCAAACUCUGAUUUUGAAGAAACAGAGGAAGAUGAAAAAAUGAUUGAACAGGAAUUGCCACCUUCAUUAAUGGACACUUUGAAAGCAUUGGAUACAAUGUUACAUUAUUUAGAAGCAAAUAGUUGUGAUUCAUAUGAAAC
rnacentral:lncRNA from 1 species